rnacentral:rRNA from 1 species
AGGGCACCACCAGAUGUGGAGCCUGCGGCUUAAUUUGACUCAACACGGGGAAACUUACCCGGGCCGGACACUGGUAGGAUUGACAGAUUGAGAGCUCUUUCUUGAUUCAGUGGGUGGUGGUGCAUGGCCGUUCUUAGUUGGUGGAGCGAUUUGUCUGGUUAAUUCCGAUAACGAACGAGACUCUAGCCUACUAAAUAGGCUGCCGGACUAUUCUUGCGCGGAGGACUUCUUAUAGGGACAGGCGGGGGUUCAUCCGCACGAAAUAGAGCAAUAACAGGUCUGUGAUGCCCUUUGAUGUCCGGGGCCGCACGCACCAUACACUGAACAGAAAUGCGUGCUUGACGUUCCUGCUCCGGUCGGAGUGGGGAACCCAGUGAAACCUCUUCGUGAUUGGGACUGCACAUUGUGAUUUUUCUUCACGAACGAGGAACAUCCAGUAUAUGCGAGUCAUCAUUGUCGCGAUGACUAUUUCCCUGCCCUUUGUACACACCGCCCGUCGCUACUACCGAGUGAAUGACU